rnacentral:lncRNA from 1 species
AGAACCCCCUUCCCAUAGCAUCACCCUUGCCCCUAGACCCCCCAGCCAUAGAAUACCCAGCCCAUAGAAUCACCCCAUACGCGCAUCAAACUCAGGCAGUGACUCAUAGACCCUAUAAUGGGCCACCUGCCCCCUAUAAUUGGGUAUGUGACCCCUAUAAUGGACCACCUGCCCCAUAGAAUCACCCCCGCCCCAUAGAUCGCCCCAUAGCCCCCCCCUCACCUCGGGCAAUGACUCAUAGACCCUAUAAUGGGCCACCUGCCCCCUAUAAUUGGGUAUGUGACCCCUAUACCUGGCCCCCUCUGCCCCCCUGCCCCAUAGAUCACCCCAUAGCCCCCCACUCACCUCAGGCAAUGACUCAUAGACCCUAUAAUGGACCACCUGCCCCCUUUAAUGGACCACCUGCCCCCUAUAAUGGACCACCUGCCCCAUAUACUUGACCACCUGCCCCACAGAACCACCCCUGCCCCAUAGAUCGCCCCAUAGCCCCCCACUCACCUCAGGCAAUGACUCAUAGACCUCUACGGGGUCGAGCCCCCCCGGCCCCAGUCUCUUCUGUCUCUCCUCCUCCUCGUAUUCCCUCAUGGCUCGUUCAAUACGAGCCUUGGCCCGGCCCCGCACACGAUCCUUGAAGGCCUCCAGCUCGUCAUUGAAACCCUCCAUGUACUGCUGGUCGGCCGUCUGUGGGGCAGAUGUGGGUCAGGACCCCCAGAUGUGGGGCAGGAUCCACCCUAUAUGGGUCUAUGGGGGGGCUGCGGGGGGUAUGGGGGGGUUUUGGGGUGGUUUUGAGGGGUUUUGGUGGUGGUUUUCAUCAUUGAAGCCCUCCAUGUACUGCUGGUUGUCUGUCUAUGGGGCACAUGUGGGGCAGGACCCCCAGAUGUGGGUCAGGACCCACCCUAUGUGGGUCUGGGGGUGUUUUUGGGGGGGUUGGGGUGGUUUUAGGGGGGUUAUGGGGGCAAUUAUAGUCAUUGAAGCCCUCCAUGUACUGCUGGUCGGCUGUCUAUGGGACAGAUGUGGGGCAGGACCCCCAGAUGUGGGUCAGGACCCCCCCCAUAUGGGUCUAUGGGGGGACUGCGGGGGGUAUGGGGGGGAUUUGGGGUGGUUUUGGGGGUGGUUUUCAUCAUUGAAGCCCUCCAUGUACUGCUGGUCGGCCGUCUGUGGGGCACAUGUGGGGCAGGACCCCCAGAUGUGGGUCAGGAACCCCCCUAUGUGGGUCUGGGGGGGGUUGGGGGGGUUUUGGGGUGGUUUUAGGGGGGUUUUGGGCUGGUUUUCAUCAUUGAAGCCCUCCAUGUACUGCUGGUCGGCCGUCUGUGGGGCAAUUUGGGCAGGACCACGAUGUGGGUCAGGAUCACCCUAUGUGGGUCUGGGGGGGGUUGGGGGGGAUCUUGGGGGGGUUUUGGGGUGGUUUUGGGGGGUUUUUUGGGUGGUUUUUGGGGAUUUUUGGUGUUUUUUGGGUGUUUUUUGGUGUUUUUUGGGGUUUUUCACCUUGAUUUUGGUGAAGAACUGCCUGAAACAGGCGCGUGGAUCCACCUUGAGGCUCUUGGCCAGUUCCAGGAUGAACUGCAUCACGAUGGUCUGGUGGGCGACCUGCUCCAUCAGCGCCUGCUUCUAUGGGGGAAAUAGGGGAGGGGGCCAUGGGGAGACCACAAUGGACACCACAAAUAGAGACCCCAAUGGGACCCCAAUGGACACCCCAAAAGGGGACCCCAAAUGGAGACCAAUGGGACCCCAAUGGGACCCCAAUGGAGACCCCAAAUGGAGCCCUGAAUGGAAACCAAAGGGACCCCAAAUGGAGACCCCAAAAGGGGACCCCAGAGACCCCCAAAUGGAAACCAAAGGGACCCCAAAUGGAGACCAAAGGGACCCCAAAUAG